ensembl:lncRNA
AGCAGAGCUGGGGAUGAGACGGUUCCCGGCAGAAUCUGUGGCCAAUCCUGGCGAAGCUCCUGCAGCCGGCCGGGGUAAUGUGGGCAUUGACAGAGUGGACUGUCAGGUGCUGCUGAUGGUGGCUACUCUUGGAUGACCGGCUGGCCCUGGGCCUACGGGUACCUAGAUGCAUUGUUUUAUAAAAAGAGAGGACGGAGCUCUGGCGUGGUCUGUGGGGAGCAGGCCUUUGGCCUUUGAGUUUUGCUGAAAGGACAACGAUGUCCCGAGUGACGAUAGAGGAGGCGGCUCUAGGGUCCACUGGUGAUACGUCAUUCAUCCUUACUCUAAGGGUUCUGGGAAAUGGCUACGACGGCUCUCUGUCCUGUUUCUCUGCCUCCACUCCCUUCUCAUCCCUUCUGUGUCCCCAGAUAAACUUCAUUUUAUACUAGACCCCCCAUAUUGCUGGUACCUGGGAA